UCCUCUUGUCCUGUAGGAGGCGACAGCAUUAGAAGUGGUUUCCUGCAGUCAGGAGAAGGAGAGUCUGCCCCCAGAGAAGAUUCCCUCCAGUCCUGUUUACUCUGAGAGAGAGGCCUUGCUAGUUGGGAUCAUCUCUACGUUCCUCCAUGUCCACCCGUUUGGAGCCAGCAUCGAAUACAUCUUCUCUUACCUACAGCAGCUGGGCACCAAGAUUAACACCGGACAGGUGGGGGCUCUACUGGGUCGGCUGCCCAGUACCUUCAGACAGGAGCUGACAGGGGUGGGCGCCAGCCUGGAGAAACGCUGGAAGUUCUGUGGUUUCGAGGGAAUCAAGACCAAAUAGAGCAUUACAGACACACAGCGGAUAUCACAGAGACACAGA